rnacentral:rRNA from 1 species
GACGAACGCUGGCGGCGUGCCUAAUACAUGCAAGUCGAACGCAGUGGGGACGGGUGAGUAACACGUGGGUAACCUCCCAUCAGAGGGGAUAACACUUGGAAACAGGUGCUAACCCGAUAUUGAAGGAUGGACCCGGGGUGCAGUAGCUAGUUGGUGGGGUAACGGCGUACCAAGGCCACGAUGCAUAGCCGGCCUGAGAGGGUGAUCGGCCACACUGGGACUGAGACACGGCCCAGACUCCUACGGGAGGCAGCAGUAGGGAAUCUUCGGCAAUGGGCGAAAGUCUGACGGAGCAACGCCGCGUGAGUGAAGAAGGUUUUCGGAUUGUAAAACUCUGUUGUUAGAGAAGCGGUAUCUAAACAGAAAGCCACGGCUAACUACGUGCCAGCCGCCGCGGUAAUAC